AUUGAACGCUGGCGGCAGGCCUAACACAUGCAAGUCGAACGAGUGGCGGACGGGUGAGUAAUGUCUGGGUAACUGCCCGAUGGAGGGGGCUAACUAUUGGAAACGGUAGCUUAUACCGCAUACCAUCGGAUGUGCCCAGAUGGGGUUAGCUAGUAGGUGGGGUAACGGCUCACCUAGGCGACGAUCCCUAGCUGGUCUGAGAGGAUGACCAGCCACUCUGGUACUGGGACACUGUCCAGACUCCUACGGGAGGCGGCAGUGGGGAAGAUUGCACAAUGGGGGCAAGCCUGGUGCAGCCAUGCCGCGUGGAUGAAGAAGGCCUUCGGGUUGUAGAGUACUUUCAGCGAGGAAGAAUUACUCGCAGAAGAAGCACCGGCAAACUCCGUACCAGCCACCACGGUGAUUC
rnacentral:rRNA from 1 species